UCGGCGGUGGCCAGCCAGGCCCGGGCGUCU
rnacentral:sRNA from 1 species